rnacentral:rRNA from 1 species
UACGUAGGGGGCAAGCGUUGUCCGGAAUUAUUGGGCGUAAAGCGCGUGUAGGCGGCUCGAUAAGUCUGCUGUGAAAGUCCAGGGCUCAACCCUGGAAUGCCGGUGGAUACUGUCGAGCUCGAGUCCGGAAGAGGCGAGUGGAAUUCCUGGUGUAGCGGUGAAAUGCGCAAAUAUCAGGAGGAACACCAAUGGCGAAGGCAGCUCGCUAGGACGGUACUGACACUGAGACGCGAAAGCGUGGGGAGCAAACAGG